GACGAACGCUGGCGGCGUGCCUAAUACAUGCAAGUAGAACGCACAGUUUAUACCGUAGCUUGCUACACCAUAGACUGUGAGUUGCGAACGGGUGAGUAACGCGUAGGUAACCUGCCUGGUAGCGGGGGAUAACUAUUGGAAACGAUAGCUAAUACCGCAUAAUAUUAAUUAUUGCAUGAUAAUUGAUUGAAAGAUGCAACUGCAUCACUACCAGAUGGACCUGCGUUGUAUUAGCUAGUAGGUGAGGUAACGGCUCACCUAGGCGACGAUACAUAGCCGACCUGAGAGGGUGAUCGGCCACACUGGGACUGGGACACGGCCCAGACCCCUACGGGAGGGAGCAGUAGGGAAGCUUCGGCAAUGGACGAAAGUCUGACCGAGCAACGCCGCGUGAGUGAAGAAGGGUUUCGGAUCGUAAAGCUCGGUUGUAAGAGAAGAACGGGUGUGAGAGUGGAAAGUUCACACUGUGACGGUAUCUUACCAGAAAGGGACGGCUAACUACGUG
rnacentral:rRNA from 1 species